rnacentral:rRNA from 1 species
UCCAGACUCCUACGGGAGGCAGCAGUGGGGAAUAUUGGGCAAUGGGCGCAAGCCUGACCCAGCAACGCCGCGUGAAGGAAGAAGGCUUUCGGGUUGUAAACUUCUUUUCUCAGGGACGAAGAAAAUGACGGUACCUGACUAAGAAGCCCCGGCUAACUACGUGCCAGCAGCCGCGGUAAUACGUAGGGGGCAAGCGUUAUCCGGAUUUACUGGGUGUAAAGGGAGCGUAGACGGCAUGGCAAGUCAGAUGUGAAAGCCCGGGGCUCAACCCCGGGACUGCAUUUGAAACUGUUUCCCUUGAGUGUCGGAGAGGUCAUCGGAAUUCCUUGUGUAGCGGUGAAACGCGUAGAUAUAAGGAAGAACACCAGUGGCGAAGGCGGAUGACUGGACGAUAACUGACGGUGAGGCGCGAAAGCGUGGGGAGCAAACAGGAUUAGAUCCCCUAGUA